GACGAACGCUGGCGGCGUGCCUAAUACAUGCAAGUCGAACGCACAGUUUAUACCGUAGCUUGCUACACCAUAGACUGUGAGUUGUGAACGGGUGAGUAACGCGUAGGUAACCUGCCUGGUAGCGGGUGAUAACUAUUGGAAACGAUAGCUAAUACCGCAUAAUAUUCAUUAUUGCAUGAUAAUUAAUUGAAAGGUGCAAUUGCACCACUACCAGAUGGACCUGCGUUGUAUUAGCUAGUAGGUGAGGUAACGGCUCACCUAGGCGACGAUACAUAGCCGACCUGAGAGGGGGAUCGGCCACACUGGGAAUGAGACACGGCCCAGACUCCUACGGGAGGCAGCAGUAGGGAAUCUUCGGCAAUGGACGAAAGUCUGACCGGGCAACGCCGCGUGAGUGAAGAAGGUUUUCGGAUCGUAAAGAUCUGUUGUAAGAGAAGAACGGGUGUGAGAGUGGAAAGUUCACACUGUGACGGUAUCUUACCAGAAAGGGACGGCUAACUACGUG
rnacentral:rRNA from 1 species